rnacentral:rRNA from 1 species
GUGCCAGCAGCCGCGGUAAUACGUAGGGAGCGAGCGUUGUCCGGAAUUACUGGGCGUAAAGGGUGCGUAGGCGGCGAUGUAAGUCAGAUGUGAAAUCCCCGGGCUCAACUCGGGUUCUGCAUUUGAAACUACAUUGCUUGAGUGCAGGAGAGGAAAGCGGAAUUCCUAGUGUAGCAGUGAAAUGCGUAGAUAUUAGGAAGAACACCAGUGGCGAAGGCGGCUUUCUGGACUGUAACUGACGCUGAGGCACGAAAGCGUGGGGAGCAAACAGGAUUAGAUACCCUCGUAGUCC